rnacentral:rRNA from 1 species
UACGAAGGGGGCUAGCGUUGUUCGGAUUUACUGGGCGUAAAGCGCACGUAGGCGGAUCUUUAAGUCAGAGGUGAAAUCCCAAGGCUCAACCUUGGAACUGCCUUUGAUACUGGGGAUCUUGAGUCCGGGAGAGGUGAGUGGAACUGCGAGUGUAGAGGUGAAAUUCGUAGAUAUUCGCAAGAACACCAGUGGCGAAGGCGGCUCACUGGGCCGGUACUGACGCUGAGGUGCGAAAGCGUGGGGAGCAAACAGG